rnacentral:rRNA from 1 species
CGACCGGAGCUUUACACAUGCAAGUCGAACGGUCUCUUCGGAGAUAGUGGCGGACGGGUGAGUAACGCGUGAGAAUCUAGCUUCAGGUCGGGGACAACCACUGGAAACGGUGGCUAAUACCGGAUGUGCCGAAAGGUGAAAGAUUUAUUGCCUGAAGAUGAGCUCGCGUCUGAUUAGCUAGUUGGUGUGGUAAGAGCGCACCAAGGCGACGAUCAGUAGCUGGUCUGAGAGGAUGAUCAGCCACACUGGGACUGAGACACGGCCCAGACUCCUACGGGAGGCAGCAGUGGGGAAUUUUCCGCAAUGGGCGAAAGCCUGACGGAGCAAUACCGCGUGAGGGAGGAAGGCUCUUGGGUUGUAAACCUCUUUUCUCAGGGAAUAAAAAAAUGAAGGUACCUGAGGAAUAAGCAUCGGCUAACUCCGUGCCAGCAGCCGCGGUAAUACGGAGGAUGCAAGCGUUAUCCGGAAUGAUUGGGCGUAAAGCGUCCGCAGGUGGCACUGUAAGUCUGCUGUUAAAGAGCAAGGCUCAACCUUGUAAAGGCAGUGGAAACUACAGAGCUAGAGUACGUUCGGGGCAGAGGGAAUUCCUGGUGUAGCGGUGAAAUGCGUAGAAAUA